ACCUACGGGGGGCAGCAGUGAGGAAUAUUGGUCAAUGGGCGGGAGCCUGAACCAGCCAAGCCGCGUGAGGGAAGAAGGUACAGCGUAUCGUAAACCUCUUUUGUCAGGGAACAAAGGCGGGGACUAGUCCCCGGAUGAGGGUACCUGAAGAAAAAGCAUCGGCUAACUCCGUGCCAGCAGCCGCGGUAAUACGGAGGAUGCGAGCGUUAUCCGGAUUUAUUGGGUUUAAAGGGUGCGCAGGCGGCCUGUUAAGUCAGCGGUAAAAGCCCGGGGCUCAACCCCGGCCAGCCGUUGAAACUGGCGGG
rnacentral:rRNA from 1 species